rnacentral:rRNA from 1 species
UGGGGAAUAUUGGACAAUGGGCGAAAGCCUGAUCCAGCCAUGCCGCGUGAGUGAUGAAGGCCCUAGGGUUGUAAAGCUCUUUUGUGCGGGAAGAUAAUGACGGUACCGCAAGAAUAAGCCCCGGCUAACUUCGUGCCAGCAGCCGCGGUAAUACGAAGGGGGCUAGCGUUGCUCGGAAUCACUGGGCGUCAAGGGUGCGUAGGCGGGUUUCUAAGUCAGAGGUGAAAGCCUGGAGCUCAACUCCAGAACUGCCUUUGAUACUGGAAGUCUUGAGUUCGGGAGAGGUGAGUGGAACUGCGAGUGUAGAGGUGAAAUUCGUAGAUAUUCGCAAGAACACCAGUGACGAAGGCGGCUCACUGGCCCGAUACUGACGCUGAGGCACGAAAGCGUGGGGA